UCUCUAGCUUGCCGGGGCUCAGCGUCAUCGCAACGGCUGGAUCAGGUGGCCACCGGCUCCAUGCCGAGGACUCGAGGAGGGAUGAAGGGAACGCCAUGCCGCCGCCGUGCUAGAUCUGUGUACUCAUACUGGGUGGGGGUCGGGGAGACCCUGAACCUGAGCUUGAUCAUGAAGCCACCAUGGCUGGUAGAGUGGUAGCUGAUGCUGUUCCUGCCCCAGAGAAGAAGUGCAGGUGAUGCCGGUGGUGAUUGCACGCGCCGCGCCGCCGCCUCCUAUCCGUAGCUCCGCCAUCUCCACGUCCUGGAGCCCCGUCGAGGUCUCUGACCCGCCGUGGCCGGAUCUGCGCUGCCGCCGAGCCCCAUCCCCGCGCGCCGCCACCGAGCUCCUCUCUCCCAUCCAAUGAGGACGAGGAGGCGGCGGAGGUGGUGCACAUGGCGUCUCGCUGCUCGGCCUCGUCGUGGCCUCCUCCGACGAGGGGGGUCGGCCCGGGCGAGACUGGGACAGGCGCUCGGCUGUUCGCGCUGGAUCGAAAGGCUUGUUGGAGUGUCCAUGUCAUGAACUAGUCCAACCCCGUCCCGGAGCAGGAGUUUGCGGCGCUGGCAGCGGAGCGGAGGCUGGUGGUGGGCGCCACCACGGCCGCCGUCGGGGCAACUUCCGCAGCGGAUCUGGUAACUAUCUUCCCUUGUUAGCUUGGUUUGCAGGUACAGGAUGAUCCAAACACUCGAGCAAAAUCUGCAUGUACAGCUUACAUAUGUGCUACCAACUUUGACACCACGGGCUCACUUCUUCUUUUAUGUCUCUACGACUCUACCCUUCCAUGCCAUUUUGUAGUUUUUUUUUUCUGAUGUAUGUUACUUCAGCAUGAUCUAUCACAGCCUCUAGCACAAGCACUUGAAGAAUUGGAAAUAAUCAAUCAGCAAGUCAUGUUUUUUAAGUAAUUAAGUAUGCAGUUCCUACCUUUCGUUGAUUGCCCCUCCUGUUUGCCUGCUGUUGAUUUCUGAGGUGGACAUCAGGACAUCAGGAAGAGGUAGCUUUGCUACCAUGGCCAUGACGCUCUCUGUUCAAGGAGCAGCUGAGCAGAAUGCAGAUUAAGUUGAUGUUCUCUAUUCCUAAAUCCUCAAAUAAUGAAGGCAAAAUUAGUCAUGUGUUUUACGACAACUACACACACACUGACACACACACACACAUAUAUGCUCAUAUGUUCACAUGCAUCAACAAUCUAUGCCGUUCGCGUGGGUUGACUCCACUCCCAUUCUCAGCCCUCCUGGCCAACUCACACCCCUCUCUCGCGGCGCCGACACUGGUGCUGCCAUUACUUCACUCAACUGGAUCCAGCCACUUCUUCACCCAAUGGAGCAAUGGGGAUGGAGUUAACCUACUUCAUCUGACCAUGACACAAUGGCUUUGUUCUCCCAAUGGAGCAAUGGAGUGGUGUGCUAUGAGGACGAGAUGUGCAAAUUGAAGACACCCAAGGCCUCAACACCGGGUUCUAUGCAGACCUGAGCCAGCACAACUGUCUGAUUGGCUGCUUCUCUAAUGUGUUUGCAUGGUACAUGGGGUAUCUAUAUCAAGAAUGGGUAAUUCAGAAAAUAUAAGAUGGAUCAACAGCGGUUUUGUUUGACAUUUCUACCUGAUUUGCUCAAAGAAAUUAAGGCACUUAUGCAGAAAUUUUGGGAAGCUGCUGGAAACUACAACUUAGCGUUUGCUGCAGCUAGGCUUGGGCAUUGUUUCUCUGACGAUGCGGUAUGACCUCGCACGUUCCAGCAUGUACUGCUACAUUGGGAAUAUGUCAGAUGCUGAAGCAGUGCCAGUGACGCUCAUCUUCCAUGGAGGCACUUGGAGCUGCUUGGGACUGCAUUGUUCUUACUGAUGAGGUCGAUUGAGUUAGAUGGGUUUGUCUGGCUGCUGCUGCUGCAGGAAACAGACUGAUACUAGGCGUGUAUCCUCAGCGUGACAUUAAUGUGGGCGAUGAUCUAUCCAGCAUGGAGAAAGCAUUUGAUCGUGAUACCUGUAAUCGAGUGCAGUGGUAGCUGUAGUGUAGUGUGUCAUAGUGACAUUAUUGAACUGAAUAUAAGUUCCAUUGUAAUGUUGUUUAUCUUUUCAUGCAGAGGAAAACUGGAAUUUUAGAUUCAGAUUUUUCCCCACUCUCUUCAUCUCCAUCUUCUCUAAUCUGUCUGCAUAUGCAGGUUUAUCAGCAUUACAAGAUAUGAAAAUGAUGAAAGAUCACUGUCCGCGAGG